GCCCCCUCCCCCCACCGCGCAAAACCUCCUCUCCCCACCGCGCCCCCUCUCUUCACGAUCAACACCCCCACCCCUCAACACUCUCUCUCCCUCUCCGACACCGAUCACCCUCUCCGACUCCGAUCUCCCUCUCCAACACCGCACCAACCUCCGAUCUCCCCCUGUUCCCCUCCCCCCUCCCCUUCCUCCUCCUCCGCCGCUGCAGGUCGCCGCCCCUCCGCCGCCGCCGCCGCCGCCGCCGCCGCCUCUGCCGGAGAGGCCGAGCCCUUCGUCGUGGGGCAGCGGCGACCACGGCGCCCCGGAGGUGUCGCACUUGGGGUGGGGCCAUUGGUACACUCUCCGAGAGCUCGAGGCCGCCACGAACACGUUCUCCGACGAGAACGUGAUCGGAGAAGGAGGGUACGGGAUCGUCUACCACGGCGUUUUGGAGGAUAACACCCAGAUCGCCGUGAAAAAUUUGCUCAAUCAUAGAAUACAAAAGAUAAUCCUCCAUGCAAUACCUUUUUUAUUGGCAAUCUUAGGGAGAAUGUAAUCGAGGAUGAACUCAGUAGUCUUUUCAGUGUGUAAGGGUUGCCGGUGAGUCCUUCGCCGCAGAUCUCCUCGCCAACGAGUUUAUCACUACCGAUCUCCUCACCGCCAAGAUUCUUAUUGCCGAUCUCCUCUCCGACGAGCUCUCCACGGUCCCGAUCUCCAAUCGAAGAAAAAUCUAUAAAAAAAAAGGAAAUGAAUUGUUGCUGAAAUAGGAGUUGAAGCAUUUUUUUUAUCGUUUUUAAGUAUUUUCUAUUUUCAAAGUUGAGAGAGUCAGGAAUGAUGUUGAACUGUAUAUCGAAUAUUAUUACUCUAUUGCUUUUAAAUUGAUUUUGCUAUUAUUUUGUUUUUAAGCUGUUGUGGAUCAGAAGACAAUUAGCCUUUUAAAUUGUUGUUAAAAAAAUAAUUUUGUUUACUUUAAUA